rnacentral:rRNA from 1 species
CCUACGGGUGGCAGCAGUGGGGAAUAUUGCACAAUGGGGGAAACCCUGAUGCAGCGACGCCGCGUGAGUGAAGAAGUAUCUCGGUACGUAAAGCUCUAUCAGCAGGGAAGAAAAUGACGGUACCUGACUAAGAAGCCCCGGCUAACUACGUGCCAGCAGCCGCGGUAAUACGUAGGGGGCCAGCGUUAUCCGGAUUUACUGGGUGUAAAGGGAGCGUAGGCGGCAGGUCAAGUCUGGAGUGAAAUUCCGGGGCUUAACCCCGGAACUGCUUUGGACACGGUGCGGCUGGAGUGCAGGAGGGGGAAGCGGAAUUCCUGGUGUAGCGGUGAAAUGCGUAGAUAUUGGGAGGAACACCGAUGGCGAAGGCAGCUUACUGGACUGUAACUGACGUUGAGGAUCGAAAGCGUGGGGAGCGAACAGGAUUAGAUACCCGGGUAGUC